rnacentral:rRNA from 1 species
AAACCAACAGGGAUUGCCUUAGUAACGGCGAGUGAAGCGGCAAAAGCUCAAAUUUGAAAUCUGGUACCUUCGGUGCCCGAGUUGUAAUUUGAAGAAAGCUAUCUUGGAUUUGGCCUUUGUCUAUGUUCCUUGGAACAGGACGUCACAGAGGGUGAGAAUCCCGUGCGAUGAGGUGUCCAUUUCUAUGUAAGAUGUUUUCGAAGAGUCGAGUUGUUUGGGAAUGCAGCUCUAAGUGGGUGGUAAAUUCCAUCUAAAGCUAAAUAUUGGCGAGAGACCGAUAGCGAACAAGUACAGUGAUGGAAAGAUGAAAAGAACUUUGAAAAGAGAGUGAAAAAGUACGUGAAAUUGUUGAAAGGGAAGGGUAUUAGAUCAGACUUGGUAUUUAGUUAUCAUUACUCCUUGUGGGUGGUGCUCUAGCUUUUUACUGGGCCAGCAUCAGUUUUGGUGACAGGAUAAUAGCAAUUGAAUGUGGCUCCUCGGAGUGUUAUAGCUUUUGUUGAUACUGUCUACU